rnacentral:rRNA from 1 species
GACGAACGCUGGCGGCGUGCCUAACACAUGCAAGUCGAACGGGAAGGCCGGGCCUUUGGGCGCAGGUCGAGGUGCGACGGGGUGAGUAACCCGUGAGUAACGUGCAACUGACUGUGGGAUAUCUUAAGGAAACUGGAGCUCAUCCGGGCUAAGAGCUAUUGCUGGUGGGUGGGGGUGCGAUGGAUUAGCCAGUUGGGAGGGUACAAGCCGACCAAGGCGACGAUGCAUAGCUGGUGUGUGAGGAUGGUAAGCCACACUGGGACUGAGACACGGCUGAGACUCCUACGGGAGGCAGCAGUGGGGAAUAGUGGACAAUGGGCGAAAGCCUGAUCCAGCAAUGCCGCGUGAGUGAUGAAGGCCUUAGGGUUGUAAAGCUCUUUUACCCGGGAUGAUAAUGACAGUACCGGGAGAAUAAGCUCCGGCUAACUCCGUG